AGAGUUUGAUCCUGGCUCAGGAUGAACGCUAGCUACAGGCUUAACACAUGCAAGUAGAGGGGCAGCAUGAAUAAAGUUUCGGCUUUAUUUGAUGGCGACCUGCGAAUGGGUGAGUAACACGUAUCCAACCUGCCUGUUACUGGAGGAUAGCCUCCCGAAAGGGAAAUUAACACUCCAUAUUAUAUAGAUGAGGCAUCUUGUUUAUAUGAAAGUUUCACGGUAACGGAUGGGGAUGCGUCCCAUUAGAUAGUAGGCGGGGUAACGGCCCACCUAGUCGACGAUGGGUAGGGGUUCUGAGAGGAAGGUCCCCCACAUUGGAACUGAGACACGGUCCAAACUCCUACGGGAGGCAGCAGUGAGGAAUAUUGGUCAAUGGGCGAGAGCCUGAACCAGCCAAGUAGCGUGCAGGAUGACGGCCCUAUGGGUUGUAAACUGCUUUUAUACGGGGGUAAAGUCAUCCACGUGUGGAUGUUUGCAAGUACCGUAAGAAAAAGGAUCGGCUAAUUCCGUGCCAGCAGCCGCGGUAAUACGGAAGAUCCGAGCGUUAUCCGGAUUUAUUGGGUUUAAAGGGAGCGUAGGCGGACGAGCAAGUCAGUUGUGAAAGUUUGCGGCUCAACCGUAAAAUUGCAGUUGAAACUGUUUGUCUUGAGUUCACAUAAGGAUGGUGGAAUUUGUGGUGUAGCGGUGAAAUGCAUAGAUAUCACGAAGAACUCCGAUUGCGAAGGCAGCCAUCCGGGGUGCGACUGACGCUGAGGCUCGAAAGUGCGGGAAUCAAACAGGAUUAGAUACCCUGGUAGUCCGCACCGUAAACGAUGGAUACUCGUGGUUGGCGAUAGACAGUCAGUCACCAAGCGAAAGCGUUAAGUAUCCCACCUGGGGA
rnacentral:rRNA from 1 species